AUGACCCCGCAGACUUGGGAUGGGAACAGGUUUUACGUCUCCUUCAUCGACGAUUACUCUCAUUUUACAAUAAUCUACCUGAUGUCGUCGAAAGAUCAAGUGCUGCAAUGUUUCCGUGAAUACGAAGCUCUUGUAACCGCUCACUUCGGAUCGAGAAUCUCUCGGCUCCGGACCGAUAACGGAGGAGAGUAUGUUGGGGGUGAAAUGCGGCGAUUCUGUCGGAGCAAAGGUAUAGCAAUGGAAACGACCAUCCCCUAUACGCCGCAACAGAAUGGCGUGUCCGAAAGGAUGCGCGCCAGGGCCAUUCUAGCGGAGAGCGGUUUCGAAAAGGAGAUGUGGGGCGAGGCUGUGUACACGGCCACAUAUGUUACCAACCGUUGUCCAACUGCUGCUGUUGAUGUACACAAGACACCAUACGAGCUGUGGACUGGCCGCAAGCCGGAUGUCAGCAAGCUGCGAAUUUUCGGCUGCGCGGCGUACACCCACAUUCCGAAGGAGCUGAGAACCAAACUGGACCCCAAAGGAAGGAAGCUGUAUAUGGUGGGAUACACAGUAAACGGCUAUCUGUUCGAUGAGUGUUCGCUGUUCGGCGGCAAGCAAGAAGUUCAGGAAGCACCAACGAAGGAGGUUGAGCUGUCUUUCAAGAAGCGUGCUGUUGCAGAACCGGAGCCGGAAGAGGUGUCUUCAGAAGAUGAUGUUCCAGAAAACGAAGUGCAAGAAGCAGUAGUACGGAGAAGUGGACGAGCGAGGAAAGAUCCAGUAUGGUUCGACUGCUAUGAGAUGUCGUGCGGAUUGGCGUUGAGUGCAGAAAAUUUCGUUGAGGAUUUGCCUAACACCGUCGCUGGACUCAAGAAACGAGACGACUGGGAACGUUGGAAGCAGGCGAUUACGGAAGAGAUCGAGUCACUGGAGAAGAACAAGACCUGGAUCCUCACUUCGUUGCCGACUGGACGGACCGUGAUUGACAGCAAAUGGGUGUUUAAAAUCAAGCGCAACGAAGUCGGUGCCGUCGAUCGUUACAAAGCGCGGCUUGUUGCCAGGGGGUUCACCCAGCGUAGAGGCUUCGACUACGAGGACACGUACUCUCCGGUAGCAAAGCUAACUACUUUGCGUGCCGUAUUAGCUGUUGCGAACUUCGGAGACAUGCACUUGCAUCAGCUCGAUGUCAAGACCGCAUUUUUAAAUGGAACGUUGAAACAGGAUAUCUACAUGCGGCUUCCAGACGAGUUCGGUGCAGGGGACUUGGUGGCCAAACUGCAGAAGUCUUUGUAUGGCCUUAAACAGGCCUCACGUGAGUGGAACAAGCGAUUCCAAGACUUCAUCGUGAACCUCGGCUUCAGGCAAAGUCAGCCGGAUAGCUGUCUCUACAUCGCUUGGAAAGACGGAGAAGCAGUGUUCCUGAUUAUUUACGUCGACGAUAUCAUAAUAGCCAGUCGUUCCAUUUCCGUCGUUGAUGCUUUGAAGAAGAAGUUGAGCCUGGAGUUCGAAAUGACCGACCUAAACGAUGUCAAAAUGUUUCUCGGCCUGGCGAUUGAGCGUGAUAGAGAGAAGGGCGUGCUCCAGAUCAACCAGAAGCAGUAUUUGCUAAGUCUUUUGAAUCGUUUUGGUAUGGGAGAAUGCAAAGCUGCGCCUACACCAAUGGAAGCUGGACUGAAGCUGGAAAAGGCCACAGUCCGUCGAAGUUUACUACGCAACCGUAUAGGGAACUCGUCGGUUGCCUUAUGUACGUGACAGUGACAUCCCGCCCCGACAUAAGCGCAGCAGUGAACUAUUUCAGCGGCUUUCAAAGCUGUGCCACCGACGUACAUUGGAGCCACCUCAAGCGAGUCUUGCGUUACAUACGCGGGACUGUGGAUCUGAAGCUAGUGUUCAAACGGGAUGACGUGGACGGAGUUAUGACCGGAUAUGCUGAUUCCGACUGGGCGGGGAACGUCACCGAUAGAAAAUCCGUCUCCGGUUACAUUUUCAAGGUCUACUCGGCGACAGUGUCUUGGACAACGCGAAGGAAGACAUCGGUAGCGCUGUCUUCAGCUGAAGCUGAGUACAUGGCGCUCAGCGUAGCCGUGACGGAGGUUCUGUGGCUACGACGGUUGCUGGUGGACUUGGGCGUGAAAAUCGAUGAACCUACAGUGAUCUUCGAAGACAACCAAGCGUGUAUUAGAGUGGCUGAAGAUGAUAAGAAGAUGAAGAGGUUAAAACAUGUUGAUGUGAGAUACCAUUUUGUUAGGGACGAGAUUCAAAAAGGAGUGAUUCGCUUAGUGUAUGUUCCAACAGACAGUCAGAUCGCUGAUGUGAUGACAAAAGGACUCAAUAAGACUCAGUUUGUUAAGCUACGGGAAUUGCUCGGGCUAUCCGUUUGACGGGGGGUGUUAGAAUACAACCGCACACCCUCGCAUAUGCCCAUCGAUCAAUACUACACAAGAGAGACAUACCAUGAACUAUUUCCGCGAUAGGGCGGCAACACUGUAACUGUCAAAAGCUGUUAUUGAAUAAAUCAUUCCAAAGUGCGUUUUUCUACGAACAACAAGUGUUUUCUCUUUAUUCCUCCCUUCGGUCUUUCGGUCGUAAAGUCUUUUGUGUCUGCGCGUUCGCUUUUAGAGAAAACCGACUGACCAACGAAUAUUGUAGCGCGAUUCUGAACCCGGAUUUUUCACUCGCACUUCCAUCGCCCUACCGAGAAAACCGACUGACCAACGAAUAUUGUAGCGCGAUACUGAUCCCGGAUUUUUCACUCGCACUUCCAUCGCCCUAUCGAGAAAACCGACUGACCAACGAAUAUUGUAGCGCGAUUCUGAUCCCGGAUUUUUCACUCGCACUUCCAUCGCCCUAUCGAGAAAACCGACUGACCAACGAAUAUUGUAGCGCGAUUCUGAACCCGGAUUUUUCACUCGCACUUCCAUCGCCCUACCGAGAAAACCGACUCCCCCCCGUUUCGCCGUCGAGAACAUAAACAAAACUCUCAAGUUCCAGCUGCAUCACCAAACAAGAUUUCCUCUUGCAAAAAAGGCAAGUUUCACCAAAAGUUUCCACGAAAUCUCAUUGAUUUCGGGAGCGUAUGUUAUCUACAUGAUGUUGGCAUUGAAAGUGCCACGCGGGAAGUGGAUUUUCCUAGAGAAGAAAACAAAUAUUUCCGUAGGGCCGACCUGCCACAAAAAAAAACAAAAAUUUUUAUAUUUGUUUCUAACAUAACCUGUCAGAAGAUACAUGUUUGUUUCAAAAAUGGAUUGAAUUUGCUUCAAAUGUGACGUUCAAUUUGCUCCAAACAGUUUUAUUUUUGUUGCCAGAACAAAUUGACAAUUUAUUUGAGUUUACCUGAAAUAUUUUUGAUUUUACCAUGCUUUUUUCUGCGUGAUGUGAGUAUUCCCAACACUGCCUUCAGGGAUUCCUUCAACAGUUCUUCCAGGAAUUUCUCCUGGAGUUCCAACAGGAAUUCCUCAAGGAGUAGGGACACCGGGGCAAGUUGACACGGUUGAGGUAAGAUGAAACGCGAAGAUUUGAAACAGAUUUCAAUACGAUUUGGAAAUUUUCCCUUAACCAAAACAUUGCUUCAUUCGAAAACUUUCAAAUGAUUUGUCAUAAUUCGAUAACAUCACGUUAGCCUGCAGUUUCAUCUUAUCCCACCCGUUCCAACUUCAGGGUGUCUACUACCUGGAAAAACCUGGAAAACCGGGAAUCCUCAGGGAAUUUUAUUUAACAUGGAAAAACCUGGAAUACUCAGGGAAUAUCGUGAUGACUCAGGGAAAUUUUGGACCAAUGAAAAAAAAAAAUGAAAAUGAAAAAAAUUGGGUCGGUUUUUCCAGAAAUUCUGUCAGCGUUUCUUUCUGGAAUUUCUUUGGAAAUACCUCUUGAAAUUUUUCCCAGAAUUUUUUUUACUAGAUUUCUUCCGUAUUUUUUCACGCCAUUUGUCUUGGUAUUCCGUUUUGAAUUCCUUCCGGAUUCCUAACAGCAUUUUUCCUAGAUUCGAACAUUUCUUUCCGGGAUUCGUCCUUGAGAAUCUUCCGCAGUUCCGAUUGAUUUUUUUUUCUGGAAUUUUUACGGGGAUCAUGGUGAAUUUCUCUAGAAAGUUUCCUAAUAUUGCUCCCGUGGGUUCUAACAGGAUUCAUCCCGAGAUCUCCACAACAGUUUCUCUAAGGAUAUACCGCAGAUAUUGUUGCGGAAUUUCUGUUAGAGUUUCUCUCGGAAUUCCUCUUGAAGGUGUUAUUCCUAAGAUUUCUACUAAAGGUCCUCCAACGUUUUAAUGAGUUUUGCACUUAUUUUCUGCGGGAACUCUUUCCGGGAUUUCUUCCGAAGUCUCCUGUGAUUUCGUCAAGAUAUUUCCGAAAGCAUUCUUCUCCUUGGAUUUCCACAGAAGUUUCAGCUGGUAUAUAUCCCAAAUGUUGUCGCGGGAUUUCUUUUGAGAUUUCUCGGAGCUUCUCAGAGAAAGAUUCCUCCCGGUGUUGAUUCUGGGAUAUCUCAGAGAUUUUCUAAAUUUAUCCUGGACUUUCUCCUUAGAUGUUUUAGAGAGUCUUCUGGGAUUUCUGCAGGAGAUACUGCUGGUGUUUCUUAUAAAGUUCGUUCCGUGAUUUUUUUCGGAUAUUUUCCAAAACUUUUCCUUGUAGUUGAAUAUCUAAUUUCUUGCAGUGAUCCACCUGAGAUUAUUUUCUUACAGAAUUUCAUAUUUCCAGAGCUCUUCCCGGAACCUCUACCAGAAAUUAUCCCGAGAUUAUGGAUGCUCCUCUUUGGAUUUUUUUUUUAAAAAUUACUCUCGGAGUUCUUACUGGAUUUUUUCCAAGAGUUUUUUCUCGGAAUAUCUGCUGGGAUAACUUACGAGAUUUCUUGUAGAAAAUUCUUCCUUGAGAAGUAUCUGAAAGAAUCUCGGUCAAAUUUUGCGAAAAUCUUUGCAAAGACGUAUCGAGAGGAACUAAGGAAGAAAUCCUGAGAGAAAAUGGUAUGUCUCGGCAAAAAGUUCUGGGACCAAUUCCAGGAGGAAAUAUUAAGGAAAUUUAAGGAGGAGCUCUGAAAACCUCUAAAAUUAAUCCCGAGAGAAACUAGGUGCGAAAUCCCGCAAGGAAAUCCACGAGGAAUAUCUGGAAACUGCCUUGGUAAAAAAAUCCCUAGAAGAACUUUUGCAAAAAUCCCUAGAGAAACUCUUGGAAAACUGUCCCGAAACUACUAAGAGAAAUUCCUGGCAGAACUUAGGAAAACAUUUGGAAAGAUCUACAGGAGGAAUCCAGCGAGAAACUCUGAAAAAAGUCCCGGGGUACGUACUCUAAGUAAAUAGUUAGCAGAAUAUCAGAAAUGCGUAAAAACCUCUGGAUGUACUUGGGAAAACUGGAGAAAGCCAGAAAAGAAUAUUUUUGAUAAUUUCAAGAGAAAACUGCGAGAAACUGGAAACGAAUUUAAAUCAGGAACUCUGGACGGAUUUAAAUUUCAACGCGGACGGGUAGAAUUUCGAAAUCUCAUUACUACACCACCAGCACAGUUCAAACAUCCAAGUUCAAAUUCAAAACUGUGUAUGGAAUUUAACUGUCGCAUACUGCCUAUGACCGCAUAUCAGUCCCAUAUUUGCUGGAUUUCCUAUUCAUAUGGGACAGUUAUGCGAUCAUAGGGAGUAGAGUCUGUGGAAUUACUGAUUGAACUCCUGAAUGUUUUUUUCCUGAUUUUUUAGAGUAUUUGGAUGUCAUUGUAGGUGGAAAUGUCAGAGCAUUUUUUUGCAAUUAACCCAAAAGAACCUUGGGAAAAGAUUAAAAAUAAUCCUCAACAGAUUUUUCCAUUAUUUUCGAAAGAUUUUUGUUGAACAGUUCUUUAAAAAAAUGCAACGAUUUAGUGGAAUCUCCUGAACAAUAAAUCUUGCACAUUUUUCCUUAAAUUUUUAUUUUAAGUUUUGAGGAUAUUAUUGUAUAAUUUUUUAGAAGUAUAGAAAUUUUAUAAAAAUUAUGCUAAUUUUUGAUUUAUUAAUAUUUGAAAUUUCUCUCUGGAAAAACCUGGAAAACUCAGGGAAUUUUAUUUUGUCUUAUGAGUAGACACCCUGAACUUGCCACUGUCUGCUUUACCUUAAGGAACUGUAGAUUCCUGUAGAAGUUUUUUCAGGAGCUCUCUCAGAGAUUAUUUCAGAAGUUCAUUGUGGUUGUUGAAGUGGUGGUGUUCGUUGGGUAGUGGACGCCAAACGAUGGCUCAUAUUUAAUUUAGAAUUGUUUAUGUUCUAUCGUAAUUUUUGGCGCUCAUAGUGACUUGCUCAUGAGAUGAGUAUAAAGUGCAUGUGAGGAAUGUGUAGUUAAGUGCUUAAAUCUCGUGUGUGCGGAAAUAUAGCAAAUUGUAUUUCUGAUAGUUUCAGGCAAUUACCGUUUUAGAUUGUUGUCUGGUAUUGGCACAUACAAAUGUACGGGCAUUUUGUGUCACCGUGUGUAUGUGUACCCAACUCAUUCCGAUAGUAUUUACCAACUGUAACGGAACGAAAUCCUACGUGAGUGAAGUAGUAAGUGCCGGCGAUAAUCUUGUGCGGCGAAAUAGUUACCGGGAGUGAAGUAGUGACCCAGAAAGUUGAUGCCCAAACCAACAUUGGCAUUCAACGGACGAUUUCUGCGUCAACUUUGUGAAUUCGAAGCCCCGCAGACCAACUCGGCUCAGUCAGGACGCCAGAGGAAGUUUUUUUCGGCGGGUAUCCAGUGCUCCAACGCGAUAGUCGACAACGGCGUCGGCAAGCAAAUCGGUUCGGCCACCACCAACUGGUCGAACGGCGAGAGGCCCGAAGGACGAGACCCCUUUCAGCGAAGAGUACCGACAGGAACGAAAUCCUACGUGAGUGAAGUAGUAAGUGCCGGCGAUAAUCUUGUGCGGCGAAAUAGUUACCGGGAGUGAAGUAGUGACCCAGAAAGUUGAUGCCCAAACCAACAUUGGCAUUCAACGGACGAUUUCUGCGUCAACUUUGUGAAUUCGAAGCCCCGCAGACCAACUCGGCUCAGUCAGGACGCCAGAGGAAGUUUUUUUCGGCGGGUAUCCAGUGCUCCAACCCGAUAGUCGACAACGGCGUCGGCAAGCAAAUCGGUUCGGCCACCACCAACUGGUCGAACGGCGAGAGGCCCGAAGGACGAGACCCCUUUCAGCGAAGAGUACCGACAGUUUAUUCUGACCAUCAUGGCUGUUCAAUAUCUAUCAAUCCGGCUACCAAACCACCUACAUGGUGAACACCAUUCUAGACAUCUCCGUUGUAGUCACCGUCAGCAUUAGAGAAUUGAAGUUGUGUUACGUAUUAGUUGUUCUCUGACUACGAAAGAUAUAAUUAUGUGUAUUUGUGGUCAAAAUUGAUUUAAUGUGCAAGCGAAAUAAAACCAAAAUAGCGCGCAGCUCUGCUCCUUGCUUGCCAAGAACAACCGAUCAAAAAUUUUCAUCGCUCCGCUGUCAACACAAAAGGGACAGAACAUUUUCACUUCCGCUGAUACGACUGCGAACAGCAGCAGAAGCAGACAGCCGGUGCCGCGAAAGGCAGAGAAAUUGCGUGUGGUGCCGUAAAAUUGAUCCAGUUGUAGUGCGAGUGGAAAUAGUCCGGAACGCAAAUCGGGACCACCGGGUUCGGCAAAGAAUCCUACGACGCAACCAUCGGCAGCUGAUUUCUGCGUGUACGGGCAACGAAAAGCCACCAGUGCUGUUUGUGGCUUCCAGCGUUUAGUGAAUUGGGGCAAACUUCGAUCAUUAAACCCGCACAAACGCAACCCGAACGCACGGACUGAAAAUACGCCUCGUAACCGUAGAGCAACGGCUCUUCACCCACUGCUUCAAUCUCUCGCCGGCAUCCACGGCGUGUCGCAACAAGUUGUACAAACAUCUGGUGCAUUCGGGAAAGAACCGUUUGGAAAACGAACAAGCGCACAUCUGGUAGCAGAAACAAUCUCGACCGGAGCCAAGGUCAACCGCCGAUCGGACCACCGGAUCACGCAGCUACAAAAGGCCCCGCAGGGGCCUUUUUGUUGGAACUACCAAGGAACUACUGGAGCUACGAAUUCCUCGAAUCCACGGAGAGCGACCAGCCCAAGGCGGGCACGUAUCUGAAGCGGUGGCCCCGGUUGUUGGAGGGCAAACCUUCGCUGGCUCCCCGGAGACGUUCCUGGGCAGUGAACGCGACAACCCCCGUUCGCCAGAGCGAAUGCACGCAGAGCGGUGACGGAGGAUCAGUGUCUGCCUGAGCCAAUGGCGGUUCGUGCUGUGGAACACGGCGGCGAUCAAACGACGGCUUUCGCUCGGGCCUUCACGCAUUGAUGUCUCGAGAAUUCAGAGCAGCACGGUCGGAGACGCGAUUAAAGGGAAGUCAUGAGCGGUGAGCAAAUGCACAAAAUACUCUAAGGCACCAAUGAAGAAAAGCAUAGUUGCUAAAAGGUAUAGCUCCGCAUGAGUCAAAAGCAGGAUAUUAGGGAACCCAAUAGGGAAAGAACAACUAGUAUAAGACAAAACGACCACAAUACACACUAUGUUUUCUAAUUGAGUUUGGCUCUUUGUUUAUUUGGUUUGAGGAAACCCAAUAACAUGCCUAACUUUUGUAUCACAUUGUCUCUUAUAAAGCUUUGAAACAGUUUAUGAGCCACUUUUACGUUUAAUCAGAAGUUAUCAAAAUUGGUUCACCAAGUUCUCCCAGGCUGCGAGGUGACGCAUUACAUGCCUAACUUUUGUAUCACAUUGUCUCUUAUAAAACUUAAACAGUUUAUAAGUCACUUUUACGUUUAAUCAGAAAUUAUAAAAAUUGGUUCACCAAGUUCUCCCAGGCUGCGAGGUGACGCAUUACAUGCCUAACUUUUGUAUCACAUUGUCUCUUAUAAAACUCUGAAACAGUUUAUGAGCCACUUUUACGUUUAAUCAGAAGUUAUUAAAAUUGGUUCACCAAGUUCUCCCAGGCUGCGAGGUGACGCAUUACAUGCCGCAUUGUCUCUUAUAAAACUUUGAAACAGUUUAUGCGCCACUUUUACGUUUAAUCAAAAAUUAUCAAAAUUGGUUCACCAAGUUCGCCCAGGCUGCGAGGUGACGUAUUACAUGCCUAACUUUUGUAUCACAUUGUCUCUUAUAAAACUUAAACAGUUUAUAAGUCACUUUUACGUUUAAUCAGAAAUUAUAAAAAUUGGUUCACCAAGUUCUCCCAGGCUGCGAGGUGACGCAUUACAUGCCUAACUUUUGUAUCACAUUUUCUCUUAUAAAACUCUGAAACAGUUUAUGAGCCACUUUUACGUUUAAUCAGAAGUUAUUAAAAUUGGUUCACCAAGUUCUCCCAGGCUGCGAGGUGACGCAUUACAUGCCACAUUGUUUCUUAUAAAACUUUGAAACAGUUUAUGAGUCACUUUAACGAUUAAUCAUAAGUUAUCAAAAUUGGAUCACCAAGUUCUCCCAGGCAGCGAGGUGACGCAUUACAUGCCGCAUUGUCUCUUAUAAAACUUUGAAACAGUUUAUGAGUCACUUUUACGAUUAAUCAUAAGUUAUCAAAAUUGGUUCACCAAGUUCGCCCAGGCUGCGAGGUGACGCAUUACAUGCCUAACUUUUGUAUCACAUUGUCUCUUACAAAACUUUGAAACAGUUUAUGAGCCACUUUUACGUUUAAUCAGAAAUUAUCAAAAUUGGUUCACCAAGUUCUCCCAGGCUGCGAGGUGACGCAUUACAUGCCACAUUGUCUCUUAUAAAACUUUGAAACAGUUUAUGAGUCACUUUUACGAUUAAUCAUAAGGUAUCAAAAUUGGUUCACCAAGUUCGCCCAGGCUGCGAGGUGACGCAUUACAUGUCUAACUUUUGUAUCACAUUGUCUCUUAUAAAAUUUUGAAACAGUUUAUGAGCCACUUUUACGUUUAAUCAGAAAUUAUCAAAAUUGGUUCACCAAGUUCGCCCAGGCUGCGAGGUGACGCAUUACAUGCCGCAUUGUCUCUUAUAAAACUUUGAAACAGUUUAUAAGUCACUUUUACGUUUGAUCAGAAGUUAUCAAAAUUGGUUCACCAAGUUCGCCCAGGCUGCGAGGUGACGCAUUACAUGCCGCAUUGUCUCUUAUAAAACUUUGAGACAGUUUAUGAGCCACUUUUACGUUUAAUCAGAAGUUAUCAAAAUUGGUUCACCAAGUUCUCCCAGGCUGCGAGGUGACGCAUUACAUGCCACAUUGUCUCUAAUAAAACUUUGAAACAGUUUAUGAGUCACUUUUACGAUUAAUCAUAAGUUAUCAAAAUUGGUUCACCAAGUUCUCCCAGACUGCGAGGUGACGCAUCAUUUUCCUUAAGAAUCAAAUUUUUCUAUAAUAAUAAAUUAGACAAUUUGACAAGCAUUUGACCUGAUUUCACUAUAAAAUCUCUUUGGGCCUUGGUAAAUUGUUUUGUACUAUAGAUCGUUUUCAUAAAAAGUCUGCGUUGACAUCUCGUUAAUUCGAAGUGCAGAAAUGGUGCAACGAAAGUUGGAUGAUUGCUGUAUAAACGGAUAUGGAUUGAGACUCGGAUUGAGAUAAGUUGGCGCUUUGAUUGAGAUAAGUUGGCGCUUUGUUUGGAUUUCUGAGGAAUAUCUUCCUGGAAUUCCUUGAGAAAUUCCUCCAGGAGUUCCUUCAGAAAAUUAUCCAGGAGAUUCACAACGAAAUUCUUCAGGAAUUCCUUCAGGGAUUCAUCCAUGAAUCAUUUCAAAAAAUCCUUCUUAAAUUCCUCAAAAAAUUCCUCCAAAAAUUUCUCGAAACAGGAAUUCCUCAAAAAAAAAAAAUCCUCCAAGAAUUCCUCAUGAAAUUCCUCCAGCGAUUUCUCCAGAAAAUCCUCUAGGAAUUUCAGCAAGAAUUUCUCCAGAGAAUCCUAAAAGAAUGUCUCCCGGAACUCUUCCAAAAAUUUCGCGAGGAAUCCCUACAGGAAAUCCUCCACAGAUUCCUCCAGUAGUUUCUCCAGGAUUUUUUCCAGGAUUUUUUCAGGAAUUUAUUUAUUUAUUUAUUUAUUGACGUCAAUCAGAAGUAGACCGCUUGAAACCUAAGCUUAUUAUAUAUUGUUUUUACUUAAACUAAUUUAUAUUACGAUUUAACAUAAAUUGUUUUUUUCAGUUCUGUUUUUGUCAUUGUAAAGUCUAUGGUUUGGCAAUGUUUAUUGUAUAUAGACAUAAUUCGGUUUAAAGGGCCAAAUUUUGCGUAAUCAUUAUGAUGAUGGUUGGUGGAAAAAAUGCUACGUUUCCGUAGUGGUCUAGAAGAAGCAUAAAAGUUUAAUUUUGAUAAAAGUUCCAUCGAGUCGAUACGCUGCGAAACCAUAUCAUUAACAAACGAUAACAUUGCAAAUUCUCGGCGUUGCUUAAGUGUUUGAAUAUUAAUGAGCAUACAUCGUGCUUCAUAGGAUGGGAGAGGCAACCUUGUCCAGCCUAGUUUGCGGAGUGCAAAAAGUAAAAACUGUUUUUGAAUUGA